rnacentral:rRNA from 1 species
GAUGAACGCUGGCGGCGUGCCUAACACAUGCAGGUCGAGCGAACCGCCUAAAUUAGUUUUCUUCGGAAUGUCGCUUUUUGUGACUGAGUGACGGACGGGUGAGUAACGUGUAGGUAACCUACCUCAUACAGGGGGCUGACCUAAAGCAAUGACUGCUAAUACCGCAUAAGACCCCAUCUUCACAUGCAGCGGUGCUGAAAACUCCGGUGGUAUGAGAUGGACCCGCGUUUGAUUAGCUAGUUGGUAAGGUAACGGCUUACCAAGGCGACGAGGAGUAGCCGAGCUGAGAGGGUGAGCGGAGACAUUGGGAGUGAGACACGGCAGAGACUCCUACGGGAGGCAGCAGUGGGGAAUAUUGCAACAUGGGGGAAGCCAUGAUGCAGCGAGGACGGGUGAAGGAUGUAGUAUGUCGGUAUGUAAUCUUCUAUCAGCAGGGAAGAAAGUGACGGUACCUGACCAAGAAGCCCCGGCUAACUACGUG